AGCCAGAACACAGGUGCUGCAUGGCUGUCGUCAGCUCGUGUCGUGAGAUGUUGGGUUAAGUCCCGCAACGAGCGCAACCCUUGUCACUAGUUGCCAUCAUUUGGUUGGGCACUCUAGUGAGACUGCCGGUGACAAACCGGAGGAAGGUGGGGAUGACGUCAAGUCCUCAUGGCCCUUAUGGGUAGGGCUACACACGUCAUACAAUGGCCGGUACAGAGGGUAGCCAACCCGCGAGGGGGGAGCCAAUCCCACAAAGCCGGUCGUAGUCCGGAUCGCAGUCUGCAACUCGACUGCGUGAAGUCGGAAUCGCUAGUAAUCGCGGAUCAGCAUGUCGCGGUGAAUACGUUCCCGGGUCUU
rnacentral:rRNA from 1 species